rnacentral:lncRNA from 1 species
UUUCAGCCUCUGCGCGCACUCAGCGGGGUGUCCGUGUGCUUCCAGGUCCAGGACCGACACUUCCGCUGCAGGGGGGGCCGGGCUUCGGCGCAGGGCGGUUUCCCAGCGGCCCGUUCAGGGGUGUCCCGUUCCGGGGGCGACCCAGCAAAGCAGGUCGCUAUCCUGGUGCCCAGUUUGGAAUGGGUGCUGGCCUGGGGCCCGGUUUGGGGACCGCGCUCGGGAACGGACUCGGUGUUGGCCAGCUGCUGGGAAAGCAGCGCGGAGGGUACGGCGCUAAAGGCUUCGGCUACGGCGGGCAGCCUCUCGGAGGUCAGUGCGCUCGCGUCCUCCUUAGUUCUAGCACUUUCUUCAGAAGGCAGCCGUCUCAAAGAUGAGCGCUUCUCGUUGUUGGCGCACGUGGUGAUUUUGGCGACGGCCGGGUCGCUGCGGCGGCGCACUUCCCUGCUUUCGAUUCCAUGUGGAAAGGAUGGAAUCUUGUUACCUUCCUCACACAUCUGUAUUGCCAUGUCCAUCUGCACACCUUCAUUUCGCCCUGUUGUCAGGUUUCAGGCCGGGGGUUGGUGCGUAUCCCCCCGCGGGGCUGGGUCCCGGAGCAGGAGCAGGUGAGCCAAUCGGAAUGCACGCGAGCUGUAGCUCCGCCUACUACUUUGUACCGGCC